UACGUAGGGGGCAAGCGUUGUCCGGAAUUAUUGGGCGUAAAGAGCGUGUAGGCGGCCAGAUAGGUCCGUUGUGAAAACUCGAGGCUCAACCUCGAGACGCCGAUGGAAACCAUUUGGCUAGAGUCCGGAAGAGGAGAGUGGAAUUCCUGGUGUAGCGGUGAAAUGCGCAGAUAUCAGGAAGAACACCCGUGGCUAAGGCGGCUCUCUAGUACGGUACUGACGCUGAGACGCGAAAGCGUGGGGAGCGAACAGG
rnacentral:rRNA from 1 species